rnacentral:rRNA from 1 species
AUGGAUAGAUACCAAAGGGUGGAGAAGCCUCGGAAUGAGACACCCAUUCGUGAGAAUGAGAUCAGGAUCACUGCGCUCGGGAGGAUGAGGAACUAUAUCGGCUACGGGAUGUCGUUGCUUGAGGAAAAUGGGCAUGAUGAGAUCACUAUCAAAGCCAUGGGACGAGCCAUAAAUAAGACGGUCAUGGUUGCUGAAUUGAUCAAGAGAAGGGUUGCUGGUCUCCAUCAGAAUACGUCUAUUGAAUCUGUUGGCAUCACUGACACAUGGGAGCCUCUGGAAGAAGGCCUUGUCCCGCUAGAGACAACUCGUCAUGUAUCAAUGAUUACCCUAACAUUGUCCAAGGAACCAUUGGAUACGUCAUCUCCAGGGUACCAGCCACCCAUACCAGCUGAAGAGGUGAAACCUGCUUUUGAUUAUGAACAUGAAGGAUCCUUUCCCUCUGCUCGUGGGAGAGGUCGUGGUGGACCUGGUGGCGGCCGAAGGGGCAGGGGCAGAGCUAUUAGCAAUGGACCCCCUCCUUAUGACUGGGGUGAAGAAUGGGAGGAGGAUGGAGACUAUUACUACAAUGGUAGAGGCAGAGGGAGAGGCCGGCUAAGAGGAAGGGGAAGAGCCCGUGGCUACUAUGGAGGUGGUCGACGUGGUGGCUAUGGCUAUGAUUACGGUUAUGGUGGCAGGGGCGGCUACUAUGAAGAGCAGGGUGGAUACUUUGAUGGCGAACCAGAUGAGUAUCACCCCCCUCCAGGCCGUGGGCGUGGCAGGGGAAGAAGAAUGGAGCAGAGUGAAUACUACAAUGGCGAACCAGAUGAGUAUCGCCCUCCUCCAGGCCGUGGGCGUGGCAGGGGAAGAUGGAUGGAGCAGAAUGAAUACUUCGACGAACCUUAUGAAUACCCCCCUCCAGGCCGUGGUCGUGGCAUGGGAAGAAGGGGAGGCCCAUGGCGCGCCCGAGGCCGCGGGCGUGGUCCGAUGCUAGAUUGA